rnacentral:rRNA from 1 species
UACGUAGGGUGCGAGCGUUGUCCGGAAUUAUUGGGCGUAAAGAGCUCGUAGGCGGUCUGUUGCGUCGGCUGUGAAAACCCGGGGCUCAACCCCGGGCCUGCAGCCGAUACGGGCAGACUAGAGUUCGGCAGGGGAGACUGGAAUUCCUGGUGUAGCGGUGAAAUGCGCAGAUAUCAGGAGGAACACCGGUGGCGAAGGCGGGUCUCUGGGCCGAUACUGACGCUGAGGAGCGAAAGCGUGGGGGAGCGAACAGG